CAGAUCUGCAAUGCUGUGCACAGCUUCUAUUUGCAGUAAUGUGGGAGCUUUGAUUGAUGGAGCAGCAGAUCCUGCACCAGAGCAAUGGGGGAAAACAACAGAAGAGGAGAAGUCAGAGAGUGGUAUUGGGAGUUGGCCAGGCGUCACUGUCAUCAUAAAACCUCCUAAUGCUACUCUUAGGCUCUAUGGAGGGGCUGCUUUUGAAAGAGUGAUACAUGAGUUCAGGUGUGCUGCAUAUUCCAUUGAAUGCCCCCCAGUGUCAAGGGAGAAGGUGGCAAAUAUAUUGCUUGCCCAUGCUGGCCGAG
rnacentral:misc_RNA from 1 species